GUAGUUUUGGAGACUUUCUGACCCCAAGACGCAACUAACUUCUGCAAUUCUCCAGCUGUGAUCCUUGGAGAUUUUUUGGCCACUCGAACCAUCCUCUUCACAGUGCGUUGAGACGAUAUAGACUCACGUCCAAUUCCAGAUUGAUUCAUAACAUUUCCAGUUGACUGGAACUUCCUAAUUAUUGCCCUGAUGGUGGAAAUGGGCAUUUUCAGUGCUUGUGCUAUUUUCUUAUAGCCACGCCCCAUUUUGUGAAGCUCAAUAACCUUUUGCCACACAUCACAGCUACAUUCCUCGGUCUUACCCAUUGUUAUGAAUGACUAAGGGAAUUUGGCCUAUGUGCAGGCUUUGGGAGUAACGGAACACAUGUAACGGCAUUACAUAAUCAGGAUACAAAAAACUGGUAACUGUAAUCCAAAUUUAUAUUUUGACAUAACACAAUAUAGACAGCUGCUUGAUUAUAGUUCUGGUUCUCUCUUGCCAGUUGUGGCUCACGUUAGCAACCUCCUGGUGCAAGCGCAAAUAACAUUUGUACAAGUUAAUUCGGUAGAAAUUAACACAAAUACACAUACACCAGGAGGUUGCUCACAUGUCUCAAUUUGGUGGAAAUGAACACACAUUGUUCUCUGAAAUGCUUUUGUUAGGGUGACCAUAUGUCCUCUUUUUCCCGGACAUGUCCUCUGUUUCGGACCUUAAAAAAGCGUCCGGCCGGGCUUUAAAAAUCUGAGAACAUGUCAGAUGAUUUGGCUUUAAUUUCGUUAUGAUGCGCGUAUGGUCUAAUACUGCAUAAUGUGUGUGCAUGUUUGCAUUGCUUUAACCCCUCUCUGUAAUUUCCGCCUUCUUGCACAACAAUCGGUCGAUAUUAAAAGGCUUGCAGCAACUAUUGGCCAAAUUCUGCCACUUAAUCAUUAGCCUACUCUCAGCGAACACGCAAAGGCAAACUGCUGUUGUGUACGGCGUCAAACAGUUGCUUAACAAUAGCAGCAAAUGAAGCUAUCCUGAGUCGAAACAAUGCCCGUGGCCAUAAAAGCUCCUUUUUAAUUUCAUGUUAUCACACUGCUUCGUAUUACACGGUCAUUCAAAUGAGUAAAUGAUGGAAGAAGGUACGCUCGUGGGUGGCAUCUAAUAUUUUAUUUUAUUCCAUGGACAUUCAAAAGAAUGUAGGGAAAAAAAAUGUAAAGAGUGGGCACAGUGAAAGCUAUUUUAUUUGUAACUAUAUAUAUAUUUAUGUGAUUCUAAUAGUUAAAAAUUAAAGUUUGCCUUCAUAUUAAAACUCUUUCGAACGCCAUUAAUACCUCUGUAUGAUGCUCUGAAUCAGCUAGACUGAAAACGUAAUUGCUCUCAUCUCUGUAGAGAACAUGGAGCUGACUGGCCUCCAGCUACAGGGUCCAUGUGAGUGGAAGGACACCGCCUAGGAGCAAAGAGGUUAAAGACUUAUUUCAUUUGAGUUAUUUAGUCCAAUGAGUACACAAAAGUUCAUCUUUGGUUCAAAAUGCUCCUUUUAGUUCAUCUCAGAUCUCAGAGAAACCACUCAUCUACUUGUGCAAUCCUUUUACAUCCUCAUCAGUGAUAUUGAUAUUUUACCAUGGAUCUGUAUUAUCACAUUAUAUUUUGUAAAACACCAGUAACUACAGAAGGCGUUACUGCCUUUUACAUACAUUCACACCACCUGCAUUUAAUAUAAGCAUACACAAAACAGUGCAAUAUACCAAGAAGAGUAUAUCUCUGGGAAAAUGUACACACAGUAGGAUCGGGGAUAUGAGUGAAAUAAAUUGAUUGUAUUAUGCAAAGACCAACCCUUUAAGGAGUGUAUGUUCUCAGAGAAUACCAGAGAAGUCACAUAUUAAUUAUGUUCUAGCGUAUUCCCAGCAAUGCCAAAUGACCAAGCAGUGUUAGCACUCAGUUGAUUAGGAGAUGGAAAAACACUUAAAUGUGAAGUAGAUGGAUUUCAACAGACAGACAUAGCCAGGAGACAUUUCACCACAAAUCAGGCUUUAAAGGAUAGAUCAAGUCUGGCCCAGUGUGAAUGUGUGAGACAGAGAAUGUCUAAUUAUAAGAAGAAGAGUCAACAAUUUACUGAGGUUAAUGCUACUGUAGGAAUCAAAUUUGGGAGAGCAGAUCAAUACUAAUGAGGUAUUUAGGGACGAUGUAUGGUCUGUAUGUGAUACACAAGUGUGGGCCUUUAAGAGGUUCAGGAGAUAUUGUGCUGAUGUGUUUGCUACAGCAAAUCUGCAAGGAAAGUUCAUCUUUUUUUUCUGGGAAAGUUAAUCUUUUGACUGACAGUCACUCUGUCCUUACGUCCUGUCUCUCUUACACACAGACACUAGGGAUCUGUAAAUGAUACACCUGCGGACAUCUUAACAUCUACCAGUAUCAUUGAAUUUGUCAAAUCUCGGUUGUGUUUGAUAAGGCUCUCUACAAUCUUCUCCUCCAUCCAAGCCAUUCAGUCCCUUUUUUUUUUUUUUUUAAAUGUUAAAACCCGCCGUGACCCCGAAAAGGAGUAAGCGGUAGAAGAUGGAUGGAUGGAUGUUAAAACCAAAUAUUGGUGGCAUAAAAUUAUUCAUGCUUAGGCUGGGGGUGGGGGGAACAUAGCCAGUUUGAGAUUAAAUAUAGAUACAGAUGCUUGGAAAACUAAAGAGAUCUGUGACUGCAUGUAAUUCCUACAGAUUAGAAAAAAUAUCAAAGCAUGUCCACAAGGGAGUGCUGUUUCACUGGUUUAGGCAUGCUCGUCCACCAGGGUGGCGUGUAACCAGGGAACUACAAGCAAAUAUUUACCCCCAAAGGGAAUGUCAAUUAAAGUUUCCAGUCAUCCAGUUUGUUUGGAUAACUCUGACAAAAAAUAUCCAUACAGUACAAAGUGUGCAAAUCUGGACAUCUGGACGCACGAAUCUCUGACAAAACAAUCCCACGUGCCCCAGUGAGGAGAACAGAUGCCACAGGUCGAAAUAAGACAUGUACCUAUACUGUACCUGAAAGACAAAGGAGACACAAUCAUGUCUAAACAGAGGUAGAGUUACAGUAAAGUAUGCCUUUGUGGCCUCGUUACUUCAGAAGGUUCACGUCACAGAAAUGAAAGCAAGAUAAGUUUCAUUUCAUUGAUUUAUAUGGCAGAGAAUCCCCAGAAGGUUAACUUGGUUACAUUGGUUAUAUUUUCUUGAGAAUUCUUUAUGCAGUAUACAUGCGAAGACUCUUGUAAACACUGUGGCACUCUGACAUCACACACACAAACACACUGAAACCUUUUGCCUCUUUCAACUGUUGACUGUGAGAGUGAAUUUCAUCGUCCGUAUUUUGCAGUGUUUCCUCAAUUCCAACUUUGUUUCUAUUCAUACAUUACUGUAACUGCAACGUCAACCUCAGCUACCAUUACUGAGAGAAAAAAACCCUUCAGCAGUCAAAAAUUCAACUCAGUUCAAUUCAGGGUCACGUAGAAUCGAACAAUGAUUAGACAGAAUCAAAUCCGAGCACCGAGUUAAGGACCGGAUGGUGAACAGGCCAGUGUGGAGAAUGUUCCCAUGGGGCUGUGGGUGAAAAUGUGGAAAGGCCAAACAAUGGCUCUGUGAAAGUCGUGGGAUUUUAACUCAUGGUUAGUUAAUUAAAAUUGUUGAGCUGCCAGCGCCAGAUUGGAAUUUAAUUUGGUGUUAUGAAAGUAAUCCCUAGUCUAAUUGUUUUUUUGUGUUUCAUAAGUAAUCUACAAGGAAUCUACAGAUAACUGCCACCCUAUGUAAUAACACUGCGAUGUGACAACAGCAUGCUAACAGCUGUGUUUUAUGUGACUUGAGACACUUGGUAUCAAGGUCACUAUUGGUAGUGUUAGUUAGCCCCCAAUCAAUACACCAGCAACAAUAAAGAAAAUUCUGUUGUUUUUUUUUUGUUUUUUUUUGCACUCCCGUUCAUCUGGGUUUCCUCUGAGGUCUCUGGUUUCUGCCCACCUCCCUAAAACAUGCAAGUAGGUGGAUUGGUUACAUUAAAUGGUAUGUGUUGGUGUGCCCUGCAAUGGUUUGGCAUCCCAUCUGGGGUAUAUUCCUUCCUCACAUUCAGUAUUCCUAGGAUAGACUACCACGACCCUGUCCAGGAUAAAGAGCUUAAUUAAGAUGAAGGACUUGUUCAUUUAAAUAAUCAACAAUUUCCACAAAUAGACCUCGUUAUCUAGGGCUGAACCAGAAAAUUCUCCUAAGCACAACUUUCUAGUGUGUGACCCCUGUCUGGACUUUUUGUUCUCACGAUUCUGUUAGCCAUUACUCAGAAAACCUGAGUAAUGCAAUUUACUACAAUUGAAUUGGGUGCUGACGUAGUAAUGCUUUGAAACACGCAAGCAGUGGUGGCAGUAGCAGAUUUCACUUGUCAGUCAGAAAUAUACGUGCUAGCUAAAGGCUCUUGUUAGAGCACAGGUAGACAGAUUGGACCACAGAAAUGGAAAGGCUUGUACCAUGUUCUUGAUCUCUGCGCCUGUUUGUGCAUGUAAAAUGACAGUACUUUUGAAUUACUGUAUAUUGAACAAAGCAAAGGCCUUUUCAAAAGUACUUCACUGCUUCUGCACAGUGUUGAUGUAUGGCUUCUAGUUUGCAUAAUAAAGCCUUAUCUUGCAUCUGUGGAUGCAGCGGCGAAUGGUGUUGACUGACAAAGGUUUACCAAAGUAUUCCCGAGCCCAUGUCAGGAUAUCCAUUACAGACUCAUGGCGGUUUUUAAGACGUCUGAGGGAUCGGAGAAGACGCGCAUUCGGAAGUGGUUUUCAGCCUUGCCCUUUACGCACCAAGAUUUAACCGGAUUCCUUGAAUCUUUUAAUUAUAUUGUGCACUGUAGAAGGUGAAAUGCCCAAAAUUCUACCGAUUUGUCUUUGGGGAAUGUUCUCAAAGGGUUGGAUUAUUCGCUGACGCAUCUGUUGACAGAUUCUCGAGUCUCGACCCAUCCUUGCUCUUGAAGGACUAGACCUUUUUUGGAGGCUCCUUAUAUACUAUGAUUAGACGAUUGCCUCACCUUUAGGUUUUCCAAACCCAUAAGAUUUCCGUUCAUCUUCGGAACACAAAUGAAGACAUUUUUAAUGAAACCUGGGAGAAUUCAGUCCCUCCAUUUACAGUCCAAGUAACCAAAACUUUCAAGCUAAUACUAGAAAACAAUUGCAAAUUCAUAACAAUACGUUUUAGUAUUUCGUGAGUAGGAUUAUUGUGGAUUUCCUGUAAACAUUAUAGGCAUUAAUCAGGCAUACCUAUAUUUUAAAUAGAAGUCUCAAACAAGUAUAUUAUCUAAGAAAUAAAUGCACAGGAGUAAAACCAACUCUGCCUGGUUUUUUAAAUAAUCUGAAAUGACUACAAAUAGAUGAGGUAAUCCAGGGUUAGAUGAGAAAAUGUAUCCUAAAAAAUAAGAUACAUUAGAAACCUUAGUGCUGUGUAGAUUAAAUUCACUAUAGUCUUAAUGUUGGUUUGCAAUGCAGUAUUGUGGUAACAUAAAUGUUUGUUCUUAUAUUCUCAUACACCACUAAAGACAGUCAAAAAGUCCUGCUUUUUAUUUUAAAACAUAGACAUUUUCGCACAGGCUUGAAACCUUUGGUUAAUAACUGGAAUGCUGUUGAAUUCUCAGUUGUUUCGGUCUGAAGGUGUUGAUUAAUUUUCUAUAACAGCAGCUCUGACGGUAGUGCAGCUGCAAAUCACAGGUUGAUAUUAAUGCAUACGGUCUAAUAAGUUAUUGUUUCUGUAGAAGCAGCUUGUUCGUGGAGACUUGUAUGUGGAAUUUUUGUUUAAAAACGUGGAUAUGGUGACAUUUUCUGUAAGGAGUUUAUUUAACAUGUAUUGAAGGAGUCUCCAGUGUCAGCACUUUGUAACAGUAAUACAUACAGCUGUAACUUUAACAUUUCUGGUACAGGAAAGUCUCUCUC
ensembl:lncRNA